AUAUAUAAAUCUACCAAUAAUUAUUAUGGCAACAUUAAUGUGAACGAAUAUCGUAUGAAAUUGCUGACAAUGAACUAAACUCACUCAUUCAAUCCAAAGAGAUUCAAUGUCAUUCAUAAUCAAUCAAAUAUAUAUAGAUAUUUUUCUUUGUGUGUAUUGUGCGUGUGUAGUUAUCUCGUAUCCGUAUCCUCUCUGUGCGUUCGUUAAAAUUGCAAGAGUUGGAACCAUUGAAAAUUAGAAAAUAAUUCAUAUUUAUGUAGUUUUUGUGACUCACUGACGUCAGGAAGUUAUGAAGAUUCAAACGUAGAAAUGUAUUAAAUAAUUUAAAAAAAUACUUAAAAAAGAGUUCACCAUUUCUUCUUCUUACGGCGUUUCUACUACGUUAUAUCAUGACGAACUACAUUAUCUGGGCCCUGAAGGCGACGCCGCCGAGGCUGGUAUCACCUGCGCGGCGCAGUGGUCGAGGAGCGCGAGGCGGCCGCCGUCGAGCAGAAGCGGCGCGUGCGCGUGCGCCGCCGCCGCCGCCGCCGCCGCCGC